rnacentral:rRNA from 1 species
AUACGGAGGGUGCAAGCGUUGUUCGGAAUCACUGGGCGUAAAGGGCGCGCAGGCGGUUUGGUAAGUCAGAUGUGAAAGCCCAUGGCUCAACCAUGGAAGUGCAUUUGAAACUGUCAGACUUGAGUACUAGAGGGGAAAGUGGAAUUCCCGGUGUAGAGGUGAAAUUCGUAGAUAUCGGGAGGAAUACCGGUGGCGAAGGCGACUUUCUGGCUAGAUACUGACGCUGAGGCGCGAAAGCGUGGGGAGCGAACAGGAUUAGAAACCCUGGUAGUCC